rnacentral:rRNA from 1 species
GAUGAACGCUAGCUACAGGCUUAACACAUGCAAGUCGAGGGCCCGGCGCACGGGUGAGUAACACGUAUCCAACCUGCCCUUUACUCAGGGAUAGCCUUUCGGAAGCAAGAUUAAUACCCUAUAUAAAGGAUGGGGAUGCGUUCCAUUAGGUUGUUGGUGAGGUAACGGCCCACCAAGCCUUCGAUGGAUAGGGGUUCUGAGAGGAAGGGCCACCACAUUGGAACUGAGACACGGUCCAAAUGCGUACGGUAGGCAGCAGUGAGGAAUAGUGGUUAAUGGGCGGUAGCCUGAACCAGCCAAGUAGCGUGAAGGAUGAAGGCUGAUGGGGCGUAAACUUCUUUUAGAGAAGAAUAGGUAUUAUAUGAAUAAGGAUCGGCCAACUCCGUGCCAGCAGCCGCGGUAAUUC